rnacentral:rRNA from 1 species
CAAUAGCGUAUAUUAAAGUUGUUGCAGUUAAAAAGCUCGUAGUUGAAUUUCUGGCGGGCGCGCCGGUCUUCCAAGUGUUGUACUGGGCGCAGUCCGCCAUCCUUGUGGAGAGGGCUCGCAUUGAGUUGCGUGUCGGAUCUGCAUCAUUUACUGUGAGUGUUCAAAGCAGGCUGUCGCUUGAAUACAUUAGCAUGGAAUAAUAAGAUAGGACUUCGGUCUAUUUUGUUGGUUGCGAACCGAGGUAAUGAUUAAUAGGGAUAGUUGGGGGUAUUCAUAUUUAAUUGUCAGAGGUGAAAUUCUUGGAUUUAUGAAAGAUGAACAACUGCGGAAGCAUUUACCAAGGAUGUUUUCAUUA